rnacentral:rRNA from 1 species
ACUCCUACGGGAGGCAGCAGUAGGGAAUCUUCCACAAUGGACGAAAGUCUGAUGGAGCAACGCCGCGUGAACGAUGAAGGCCUCGGUCGUAAGUUACUGUUGUAAGGGAAGAACAAGUGCCGCAGGCAAUGGCGGCACCUUGACGGUACCUUGCGAGAAAGCCACGGCUAACUACGUGCCAGCAGCCGCGGUAAUACGUAGGUGGCAAGCGUUGUCCGGAAUUAUUGGGCGUAAAGCGCGCGCAGGCGGCCUCUUAAGUCUGAUGUGAAAGCCCCGGCUCAACCGGGGGAGGGCCAUUGGAAACUGGGAGGCUUGAGUAUAGGAGAGAAGAGUGGAAUUCCACGUGUAGCGGUGAAAUGCGUAGAGAUGUGGAGGAACACCAGUGGCGAAGGCGACUCUUUGGCCUAUAACUGACGCUGAGGCGCGAAAGCGUGGGGAGCAAACAGGAUUAGAUACCCUGGUAGGAUAGCG